CAACGCUACGGCGGCUUACACACGCAGUCGAGGGGUACAGAGGUAGCUUGCUACUUGCUGACGACCGGCGCACGGGUGCGUAACGCGUAUAGAACCUACCUUUUACAGGAGAAUAGCCCAGAGAAAUUUGGAUUAAUGCUCCAUAGUAUUAUUGAAUGGCAUCGUUUAAUAAUUAAAGUUUCGGCGGUAAAAGAUGGCUAUGCGUUCUAUUAGCUAGUUGGUACGGUAACGGCGUACCAAGGCGACGAUAGAUAGGGGUCCUGAGAGGGAGAUCCCCCACACUGGUACUGAGACACGGACCAGACUCCUACGGGAGGCAGCAGUGAGGAAUAUUGGACAAUGGAGGCAACUCUGAUCCAGCCAUGCCGCGUGCAGGAAGACGGCCCUAUGGGUUGUAAACUGCUUUUAUACGGGAAGAAACCCAACUACGUGUAGUUGGCUGACGGUACCGUAAGAAUAAGCACCGGCUAACUCCGUGCCAGCAGCCGCGGUAAUACGGAGGGUGCAAGCGUUAUCCGGAAUCAUUGGGUUCAAAGGGUCCGUAGGCGGACUGAUAAGUCAGGGGUGAAAUCCAACAGCUUAACUGUUGAACUGCCUUUGAUACUGCCAGUCUUGAAUUAUCUGGAAAGUACAUACAAUGUGUACUGUACCGGUGAAAUGCUUACAGAUUACCACAAUAC
rnacentral:rRNA from 1 species